AGGGGGCAGCCGGCGUCCCCGGGGGUUUCGCAUCCGCGCUUCUGCGAGCGCGCUCGGCCUUGUAACAUGGCAACUCCAGUUUCCAGAACUAUAUAUGGAAUGUCUCAUGUGCCGGGAUCUCAUUUUGUAAGGGCUGCCUGGAUCCCUCCCCUGCAGUCUGCUAACCCCCCGGGAAGCGAGUUUGCCUUCUUCUGCAUUGGAAACCCUGCUCCUCACACCCUACGCUGCUUUGGUAUGCUAGAGUCAAAGAGCAAAAUACUGUCAGAGAAGUGUUUAACUGGUGAGUAUGGAGCAUAAAGAAACCAGGCAAUUUAUGAAGUACAUUUCAAAGCAAAAGUAAGGUAUUCUGCAAAAACUUUUUUCCAGGUAGAAAGCGGAGCACAUCAUGAAUACAAAAAGGCAUUCUUUUCCCAUGCAAGAUUUCUCUUCCAAACAUGAAAAUGCUAUGGAUCAGUCCCUGAAGCAGGCCACAUGCCGACACUUCACUCAGAAAGGCGGAGAGCUACUUCUGAAGAGGAAAAGACUGCAGUCUUCGCUGCCGUUGCUCUCGUUGAGAUCCUGCAGGAUUCCAAAUGGAGCGGCCUGAAUAUAUAGCCAUU
rnacentral:lncRNA from 1 species